ACUCAAAUGAAUUGACGGGGGCCCGCACAAGCAGCGGAGCAUGUGGUUUAAUUCGAAGCAACGCGAAGAACCUUACCUAGACUUGACAUACCCUUGAAUAACUGGUAAAGCGGGAAGCCUUUCGGGGCAAGGGUACAGAUGGUGCAUGGUUGUCGUCAGCUCGUGUCGUGAGAUGUUGGGUUAAGUCCCGCAACGAGCGCAACCCUUGUUGUUAGUUACUAGUAUUAAGUUAAGGACUCUAACAAGACUGCCUGGGUUAACCAGGAGGAAGGUGGGGAUGACGUCAAAUCAUCAUGCCUCAAACGUUUAGGGCUACACACGUGCUACAAUGGUGAAAACAAAGAGAAGCGAGAUAGUGAUAUGGAGCAAAACUAAGAAAAGUCAUCACAGUUCGGAUUGCAGGCUGCAACUCGCCUGCAUGAAGCCGGAGUUGCUAGUAAUCGCGAAUCAGCAUGUCGCGGUGAAUACGUUCCCGGGCCUUGUACACACCGCCCGU
rnacentral:rRNA from 1 species